rnacentral:rRNA from 1 species
AUGCCCAAACAUUGAGCGAUGAAUGCGAGCUGAUUUUAUCAGCGGAAGUGGUCUAAUCCAUGAUUCCAAGAAAAGCUUCGAUGUGUUGUUUGGGGAGCUCGUACCGUAAACCGACUCAGGUGAGUGGGAUGAAUAUUCUAAGGCGAUUGGGUCAAAAUUGGUUAAGGAACUCGGCAACUUGACACCGUAACUUCGGAAGAAGGUGUGCCACGGUAGGGUUUAUAGCCCGAUGUGGUCGCAGAGAAAUGGGAGUAGCGACUGUUUAUCAAAAACACAGGGCUGUGCUAAGUCACAAGACGACGUAUACAGCCUGACGCCUGCCCGGUGCUGGAAGGUUAAGAGGAUUUGUCAGCGUAAGCGAAGCAGAGAAUCGAAGCCCCAGUAAACGGCGGCCGUAACAAUAACGGUCCUAAGGUAGCGAAAUUCCUUGUCGGGUAAGUUCCGACCUGCACGAAUGGCGUAACGACUUCUCCGGUGUCUCAACCAAAUGCCCAGCGAAUUUGAACUCUCAGUGAAAAUGCUGAGUACCCGCAGAAAGACGGAAAGACCCCGUGAACCUUUACUCUAGCUUGGCAGUGAUCUUAGAUCUAGCAUGUGUAGGAUAGGUGGGAGCCUUUGAAGCUUGGGCGCUAGCUCAGGUGGAGGCAACCUUGAAAUACCACCCUUGUUGGCUUUGAGAUCUAACCUGCGCUCUAAUCAGGGCGAGGGACACUGUCUGGUGGGGAGUUUGACUGGGGCGGUCGCCUCCAAAAAAGUAACGGAGGCGUACGAAGGUUCGCUCAGCCUGAUUGGAAACCAGGCGGUGAGUGCAUUGGCAUAAGCGAGCUUAACUGCGAGACCUACAAGUCGAGCAGAUGCGAAAGCAGGUCAAAGUGAUCCGGUGGUCCGCGUGGAAGGGCCAUCGCUCAACGGAUAAAAGGUACUCCGGGGAUAACAGGCUGAUUCCGCCCAAGAGUUCACAUCGACGGCGGAGUUUGGCACCUCGAUGUCGGCUCAUCUCCAUCCUGGGGCUGGAGCAGGUCCCAAGGGUAUGGCUGUUCGCCAUUUAAAGAGGUACGCGACUGGGUUCAGAACGUCGUGAGACAGUUUGGUCCUUAUCUUCUGUGGGCGUAGGAAAAUUGAGUGGAGCUGUCCUUAGUACGAGAGGACCGGGAUGGACAAACCUCUGGUGUUCCUGUUGUCGCGCCAGCGGCAUCGCAGGGUAGCUAUGUUUGGAACGGAUAACCGCUGAAAGCAUCUAAGCGGGAAGCCAACCACAAGAUUAGUUUUCCCUAGGGCUUCGGCCCUCUAAAGACUCGUUCGAGACUAGGACGUUGAUAGGUGGCGGGUGUAAUUCCAGCAAUGGAUUCAGCCGAGCCAUACUAAUUGGUC